rnacentral:rRNA from 1 species
UUCUAUAAGACAUAAUUUAUAGUAACGCCUGCUCAAUGUAAUAAUAAAUAGCCGCAGGUAUCCUGUGCUAAGGUAGCAUAAUCACUUGCUUCUUAAUUAGAAGACUGUAUGAAGGGCUCAACACUUAAACUGAUGUCUCUCUAAAAAUUAAUAAAAUUAAAAUAAAAGUUAAAAUUCUUUUAACAAAAAGUAGGACGACAAGACCCUGAUAAACUUACUUAUUUAGUUGGGGAAACAUAUUAAUGAUUAUUUAAAAUAUUAUUACACCAUAACUUAAAUAUUAAACCAAGAUUAGUUACUACAGGGAUAACAGCGCAAUUUCUUUUUAGAGACCUUAUUCAAAAAGAAGCUUACGACCUCGAUGUUGAAUUAGUUAACCCUAUAUAGAGCAACAACUUACAAGGGCGGUCUGUUCGACCAAUAAAUAUCU